CGUGGGGUGGAGCAGCCCGGUAGCUCGCCAGCCUCAUAAGCUGGAGGCCGCAGGUUCAAAUCCUGCCCCCGCAACCA
rnacentral:tRNA from 3 species